rnacentral:snRNA from 1 species
AUUCAGAUGGUAGUGCAUGA